AUUGAACGCUGGCGGCAGGCUUAACACAUGCAAGUCGAACGAGUGGCGGACGGGUUAGUAAUGCUUGGGAAUCUCGCUUAUGGAGGGGGAUAACUACGGGAAACUGUAGCUAAUACCGCGUACCAUAGGAUGAGCCCAAGUGGGAUUAGGUAGUUGGUGAGGUAAAGGCUCACCAAGCCGACGAUCUCUAGCUGUGCUGAUAGGAUGACCAGCAACAGUGGGACUGGGACACGGACCAGACUCCUACGGGAGUCAGCAGUGGGGAAUAUUGCGCAAUGGGGGCAACCUGACGCAGCCAUGCCGCGUGAGUGAAGAAGGCCUUCGGGUUGUAAAGUUCUUUCGGUAGCGAGGCGUUAACUACAGAAGAAGCACCGGCUAACUCCGUGCCAGCCGCCGCGGUAAUAC
rnacentral:rRNA from 1 species